rnacentral:rRNA from 1 species
AGAGUUUGAUCCUGGCUCAGGACGAACGCUGGCGGCGAGCUUAACACAUGCAAGUCGAACGGUGAUCUUGGAGCUUGCUUCGGGUGAUCAGUGGCGAACGGGUGAGUAACACGUGAGUAACCUGCCCCUGGCUCUGGGAUAACCUCGGGAAACCGGGGCUAAUACCGGAUAUGACACGAGCGGGCAUCCGCAUCGUGUGGAAAGUUUUUUCGGCCAGGGAUGGACUCGCGGCCUAUCAGCUUGUUGGUGGGGUAAUGGCCUACCAAGGCGACGACGGGUAGCCGGCCUGGGAGGGCGACCGGCCACACUGGGACUGAGACACGGCCCAGACCCCUACGGGAGGCASCAGUGGGGAAUAUUGCGCAAUGGGCGAAAGCCUGACGCAGSGACGCCGCGUGAGGGAUGAAGGCCUUCGGGUUGUAAACCUCUUUCAGCGCCGAAGGAGCGAAAGUGACGGUAGGCGCAGAAGAAGCACCGGCUAACUACGUGCCAGCAGCCGCGGUAAUACAAWUCG